rnacentral:lncRNA from 1 species
UCUCGCUACGUUGUCCAGGCUGGUCUCAGACUCCUGGCCUCAGUGGUCCUCCCACCUUGGCCUCCCAAAGUGCUGGGACUACAGGUGUGAGCCGUGGCACCUGGCCUGUUUUUCUUUAUUACUACAGAUAUUAUCUGAAGCUUUAAAGCCUCCUGGAGUGAAAGCUAGUUCAUAACCACGCUGUUUGGAGCGAAGAAAACUACCUGGAAUUCUUGUUCUCCAAAGAUAUGGAAUUAUCCCAGCAACAGCCGUCCUUCACUGCUCUGUCCUGAGGACCCUCAGGUGUGGCCCAUCCAGCCCCUCAGUGUUUACCUCUGUCCUAAGGACUCUCAGGUGUGGGCGAUCCAGCCCCUUAGUGUUUCCCUCUGUUUUGGAGAUCCUCAGUCUUCCCACACAGGUUGAGAGAGGAGGGGAUCCAAUUGCCUGUGAGGAGGACACGGCUCCUGGGUGGACCCUGCAGAUUGUGAAGUUCAAGUCACAGCUCCUGGGAAGGUCUCUGUGUGUAAAGAUCGUGGGGGUGAGACAGAUUCAGGGACCACACUCUGCUCUGCUCUGUACCUCUGAGUGUCGAUCCAGCUGCCUUGUGACCAGGACACUUAGAAGAAGCAUGGACCCUGCAAGAGGAUGGGCUCAAGGACAGCUUGCCUGACUGCAGCCAUAAGGAUGAAGCCUCUUCAGGUAGAGAAGGACUCCAGGUGGGGCCUGUGCAGAGGGUUCUUACGGGCGCAGUAGGAUUGGGGCUAUAAAAUCAGUAAAUGGAAAAGGAGCCAGGUGCAGAAGUCUGAUUUAUUCCUUUUUUUUUUCUUUUUCUUUUUGGAGACAGGGUCUUACUCUGUCACCCAGGCUAGAGUGCAGUCAGUGUGCCACUGUGGCUCAACCUCCGUCUCCUGGGCUCAAUCAAUCGUUCCACCUCAGCCUCCAGAAAGUAGCUGAGAAUACAGGUGCAUGCCACCAUGCUUGGCUAAGUUUUGUACUUUUUGUAGAGACAGGGUUU